UCAACAGCACAAUGUCAGCAGAGGGAUGC
rnacentral:piRNA from 1 species